CUCUCGUCUUCUUAUUCCGACUACGGUAUGACUAUCUUUGUCUUUUAUCAUGGCCACGACUCGAAGGCUUUUUUUUCCUCAUCGCGACCACGGUCGGAUGUGUCCCUUCUGGCCUUGGUACCUGGCCAAUCCAAUCCAAUAGUAGAAGAACAGAGCACAGCUUGUAAGAAGUCUCGCUCGAGUAGUGCAGUACUGUAGUUUCGAUUUGUACUCGUGGUAGUACUACCUCCUCCACCUCCACCACCACCACCACCACAACCACACUUCCUCCUCUCCAAUCAAACGACAAGGACGAAUAAUUGUCCCUGUGUGGAUGUGGUUGUGGUGGUAUCUGUUCCAAGGCUUAUCUCCAACUUCCAAAGCUUGUUGAUAUCUGGUGAGGGCUGGAAUCUUUCCGGUUCGCCUGGUUAGUUCCGAAACGUGGUUGGAUGUGUGUGCAUCGUCAAUAAUAACGUUCCAGGAGGUCAAUUUCCAACGCCAUUGAAAACGGGAUUGGAUCAUCAGACUAUCAAUGAAGACCCAAUGAACGAUGAACCCAAAUGGAACCGCUAUUGGGCCAACAAAUGGGACUAGCUUUCAAGUGCACCCUCUGCUGGCACCCUUCUGGGAUUUCAUUACUGACCAACAGGUGGUGGCUAUCCUAGGAGGCGUGGUUGGCUUUUGGGGAGGCGUGUUUGGCUGUGGAUUGAUAUUCUUGAUGCUAGUUGCCUAUCGACGAUGGAAGAAACGAAGGUUCAACGAAUUGAACAACCCCACCAUAGUUGAAGAUGGUCACCCAGAAGAACCCAAACAACCCAUACGUGAUCAAGCUGAUCCUGAUCAGAGCGCAACCUCUCCGAAUGACUCUAGCAGGAUGCGUUCCCAACCGACCACUCCAAAAACUCCAAAGAUACCAAACUUUCAAUCCCGUCCAAAGUCACCCCAACCUCAGCCAAGACCCAAACCUGAGGGCGUGUCCAAUAAAAAGAAGAGCCACGUGGCCAACUUGCCCCGACUCCCCAAACCGAUUCCCUCUAUAACACACACGCUUCAUUGAUUGACGAUGCCAAUAUCACCUUGGACGUCGUUCUCUUCUCACAA